rnacentral:rRNA from 1 species
UACGUAGGGUGCAAGCGUUGUCCGGAAUUAUUGGGCGUAAAGAGCUCGUAGGCGGUUCGUCGCGUCGGCUGUGAAAACCCGGAGCUCAACUCCGGGCCUGCAGUCGAUACGGGCGGACUUGAGUUCGGCAGGGGAGGACUGGAAUUCCUGGUGUAGCGGUGAAAUGCGCAGAUAUCAGGAGGAACACCGGUGGCGAAGGCGGGUCUCUGGGCCGAUACUGACGCUGAGGAGCGAAAGCGUGGGGAGCGAACAGG